UACGUAGGUGGCAAGCGUUGUCCGGAUUUAUUGGGUUUAAAGGGUGCGUAGGCGGUCUGAUAAGUCAGUUGUGAAAUACGGCAGCUUAACUGUCGAGGUGCAAUUGAUACUGUUGGACUAGAGUACUGAUGAGGUAAGCGGAAUGGACGGUGUAGCGGUGAAAUGCUUAGAUAUCGUCCAGAACACCGAUAGCGAAGGCAGCUUACUAAGGAGUAACUGACGCUGAGGCACGAAAGUGUGGGGAUCAAACAGG
rnacentral:rRNA from 1 species